rnacentral:rRNA from 1 species
UACGUAGGGGGCUAGCGUUGUCCGGAUUUAUUGGGCGUAAAGCGCGUGUAGGCGGCCAGAUAGGUCUGCUGUGAAAACUCGAGGCUCAACCUCGAGCUGUCGGCGGAAACCAUCCGGCUAGAGUCCGGAAGAGGAGAGUGGAAUUCCCGGUGUAGCGGUGAAAUGCGCAGAUAUCGGGAGGAACACCAGUGGCGAAGGCGGUUACCUGGAGCUUUGCUGACGCUGAUGCGCGAAAGCGUGGGGAGCGAUCCGG